rnacentral:sRNA from 1 species
AUAAAUUAAUAAUAAUUAUUAUAACUCAAAUAAAAAUUAAGUUUACAAUUUAAUUUAAAAUCUUUUAAUAAAAUAAAAUUAAAAAUUCUCUUUUUAAAAUAAAAAAAUUUGCUAAAAAUCAAUGCAGAAAAAUAUUUAAAUAUUCAACUAUGUAAAUACACUUGAAAAAAUAUAUUCCUUUAAAUAAUUUUCCAUGUUGAUUAAAUCUAUAUAUAAAAUAAAUGACUUUAAUUAUAUAAAUCAUUUAUAAA